rnacentral:lncRNA from 1 species
UCCAGUCACACAUGCUCUAACAUGAUUUCACGAGAGACAGUUAGGCCAGCAACGGUAUAUCCGUAAAGAACAGCGACAGCUAAAGGAAACCAUUCAGCAGGUAAGAAUGAGAUAGACUUUUCAGUGCCAGGCAACCAUUGCGCUGUAGAGAAGUGGAACAACAUUCAUGGUACUGCUAUUGUUAAUCGAAAGAACUUUCUUUUGUUAACAUGGUACCCACUAACGUGUGCAUAUGCAUUUUUCUCCUGUAGUCCUAGAGGGAUAAAGACACAUAUAAUUACGAUGGAGGUGACAGGCCUGAAAAUGUGAGAAUUGAAGCAAUACAUUCCCUUGUAUAUAUGUUUUCUCUUUUGAAAUAUCUCAAUAGUUUUCCAAUUUGUUUCCUGUAAAUCUCAUAUUUUAAUACUCCUUAGACCUUAGUAAUGCAUAGGUGUAAUAUUUGUUGAUAUUGCAAUUUUGAAGGAUCUGCUUUUCUUGUAUAGAUCUAUUUUUUUAAUCUUGAAGGCAGUACGAGAGGCCCUAAUGACAUAUAUACAGUACUAACAAGAAUAUGGGGGCUUUCAUAACUUGAGGUAGCUUCCAUCUUCUUGUUGUGUAUUUAUUUUUCUUAGAUGAAAAUCUUACACCAAGAAGUGGGGUCUCUCAGAAAAUUAUCAUUGUUAUUCUCCUUUUCAUUGUUUGGGCUUUUUUUCUCAAUAUAUGCUUCUACAAAAAAAAUGUAGGUCGGCCCCAUGUUGCCACCGUGGCCGGUGACUCGGGUGGAUCCAAUCCCCCCGGCCUCCAGGGUCAUUGUGCCCUCUCUCCAUUACCUCCUUCGUCGCUGGAGGAUGCUGACGGGCUAAGCCUAGGGGGUCGACGAUGAUGGCGGAGGCUCCUGCCUUCACUGCAUCGGUGGAUCACGCGGAAUCUCUGGGCACAUGGAGCAUUGCCAAAACCAGCACCAGGGUGGCGCUCGGCUGACUCCCGACGUUGGUUCCACACAAACACAUGGGGAGGGGAACUAUAUGUUACAAUCUGAAAAUGGCUAAGGAGACAUCAGAUCUACCUUCUUGGCUCGGAGGGUGUCAUGGGUGGCGCACAACUCCCCCCUAUCGACAGAAACACAUGGGGAGGGGAACAGAACAGAGAGCGGGGCGGUUGGCGGGGGACUCCUCGGCGGUCCGUGGGGAAAUACAAUGUGAAGAAGAGAGUGCGACAUGACGAAGGUGAGAUGGGCGUUAUCUGGUUUCAAUGGAGAGGGCUCCAGUGAAAAAUGUCCCGUUAUGGCGGGAAACGAGUGGGGAGGUGAGGGUUCGGCAGGGAAAGAGAAGGGUGCGUCGUGGGUGUGGUUUUUUUUAAUUUGUUCGGCGCGCACUUGUUAGAGAUAACAUGGCCAAUAGUCUGGAUAACCAUAUUUCUUCCUCACAUAUGGAUAUGCAUGGAUUUGAAGAUACCCUAUUCUCGAGACGGUUGAAUUUUGGGGAUCCUGUUAGAUGUUCGUUUGAUGUACGUUCACACUCGAACGUAGGAGGGAGAAAUGAGCUUCCACUUUAGAAUUUAAUUAUUUUUUUGAUUUAUUUAUAUGCAUUGUAGUCCGUAGCAACGCACGGGCAUUCUACUGGACUGACAUAAAGUCAGUGAGUUCAAAAUUUCCAUGUUUAGUUUUGACUGAUGUUAUGGUUCUUCAUUGAGUUUUGUUCCAGGUAUUUACCUAGAUCCUUGAAAUGCUAUUCGUAUUGGCCUGAAUGCAGUUGAAUUCUGAAUCAUAAACAAGCUGGGAGAUUUGUCUUCCACAUAGUAGGUGCUGAUGCUUAUGAUUUUCUUCAAAAAAGAUAUGGGAAAGGCUAACCCAAUAUUUUAGUUUUCAUUAUGAGGACCAUGUACAUAAUCGACCAUAUAGUUCAAAAAAGAUCUAUUGGUGAAGGUUUGUUUGAGUUCCACUAUUUCAGUUCACACAUGUACAUGUUCUGUAUUUUUUGCAGUUUUUAGUGCAUGCUCGGAGAACAAGAUAAGAGGAGAGGCUUGAAUCUUGAGAUGACAAGGGUAGUCACCUGCUGCGACUAAAGGUUCAGUUUCAUACUUCUGAUGAUAUUGUUCGGAUGAUUGCCCUUGUACUAUUCUUUUUAGUACGUACUAAAAUAUCUUGUUGUACGAAAAUCUGAUUUCUACUAAAACUUUGUCAAGUGGCUCAUUUUUCUUGUACUAAUAUCUGAAUUUUUUUACUGAUUACUGAAAUGUACCUUGUUACUAAAACUUCAUAGGAAGGAGGUCAAUGAAGCAAAAGGCACGAAAAGGAAGGAGCAGCGCCACAGGGACGAUGUUGUCGGCAGCGCUUUGGAAGGAUUCGCUCCAGAGAAGUUACGGUAGUCGGCCAUCGCCCAGGGGAAGCGGGGAGGAUGUCGUUCGAAACGCCUGGGUCUAGAGGAGUGUGUCCAGGUGGUGGCCGAGGAUGGCGACGAGCAAUUGGGUUGAGCAUUUGUCAACGUGAUGGUGUCGUUGCUAAAGGUACCAACACCCUUGUUUUGACCCAAUGUUUCUCGACUAGCUGUGAAUGGCUGGGACUGUUUCGUGCAUAUAGGGGACGGCUCAUGCCAUCCACUUCCAAAGCAAUAAGGUAGUCAUCCAUGUCACUGUCGCUUGCUGUUAGUUUUUUUUGGAUUCCAUAGGUGUUUCUUAAUGCAUCAAUCAUUUUCAAUUAGGACGGGAGUCUGAAAAAUGUUGUAAGAUUAUCGCCAUUUUUUUAAACUACAAAAGUCCAAAGAUUAGAAGCAUGAUCUUUUAUUUUUCAUGUUGCUCUACCUCUGUAGUGUCAAAUCAUAGGAACUUUUAUCACAUAUUCUAAUUUAUCCUUGAUGGCAAAUAAUCCAAACAAAAUAUUCGGAAGUAAUGGAGGCCUCGCCAGAGUAAGGGGGAAAAUUGUGGGAGUGGACGCACAUCAUGUAGGCGAGACGACAGAGUUCAUGGUUGUACUGGCCAUGAGUGGGCAUAAACCACUUUACACUAAUUACUUUACAUUAAUAUUAUUGUUUGCAGACUUGAAAGGAGAAAAUAUUGGCAAAAAGUCCCUCAAAGUUCGUAGUCUGGGUGUAGAAGGUUUGGAGAUUUUGAGCCGGAUGGGCCAUUGAUGGUUGCGGUUGGCUUGGAUAGGGAAUGUAGAGAUAGUAAGUGAAGAGGAGCAGGAGAACGAAGACGAAGAAGAAUAAUGGUUUAUAGGCAGAAAAAAAUUAAGAAUGUUGCUUAAUGUGCAUGAGGAUCCAAACAAUGUAUAUUUGACACGAUUAAAGUUAACUCAUGUCGAGCCUCAGGGUGGUGGUGGAGCAGUCAUGAUGGACGGUUAUUGUGCAAGAAUUUGUUAAACGCAUCAAAUAGAUAUUAAUUUGUAACAAAUUUUUAGUUCGAUCAUCGCACUAUAUGCAGGGACGAAGCUCCCUUGUAGGCAUUGGGGUCAAUUGACCCCAAUGAAAUUAAGAAAUGCUUCAUUAAUUUAGUACUAAG